UGCCUAACACAUGCAAGUCGAACGAAGCCUUCGGGCUUAGUGGCGCACGGGUGCGUAACACGUGGGAAUCUGCCCUCAGGUACGGAAUAACUCAGGGAAACUUGAGCUAAUACCGUAUGAUGUCUUCGGACCAAAGAUUUAUCGCCUGAGGAUGAGCCCGCGUCGGAUUAGCUAGUUGGUGGGGUAAAGGCCUACCAAGGCGACGAUCCGUAGCUGGUCUGAGAGGAUGAUCAGCCACACUGGGACUGAGACACGGCCCAGACUCCUACGGGAGGCAGCAGUGGGGAAUAUUGGACAAUGGGCGAAAGCCUGAUCCAGCAAUGCCGCGUGAGUGAAGAAGGCCUUCGGGUUGUAAAGCUCUUUUACCCGGGAAGAUAAUGACUGUACCGGGAGAAUAAGCCCCGGCUAACUCCGUGCCAGCAGCCGCGGUAAUACGGAGGGGGCUAGCGUUGUUCGGAAUUACUGGGCGUAAAGCGCACGUAGGCGGCUUUACAAGUCAGGGGUGAAAGCCCGCGGCUCAACCGCGGAAUUGCCCUUGAGACUGUAUCGCUUGAACACGGGAGAGGUGAGUGGAAUUCCGAGUGUAGAGGUGAAAUUCGUAGAUAUUCGGAAGAACACCAGUG
rnacentral:rRNA from 1 species